UGCAGGGAUUUAUUUUUAACAAACAAAGGCAACAAAAAUACCCAUGUCAUCCUCAAACCGCACUCCAUUUCAGGACAUAACGAAUGGGCAAAACCUAGAUCCUAAAGAGGCCAAAAGGUAGAGGAAUCGAGAAUAUUAUACAAAAAAUAAAGAUGAUAUUUCAAAACGGCAGCAUCAAGCACACGAACUUAAAAAACAAGCGGCUUCGAGGGAUGCGCCGAAUGACGAUAACAUGUCACACACCAGCUCCUGGACAAUCCGGAGUCACCCAACUGAAAUCCAAACACUAGGUCAUGUGUUCUUUACUUGCAUAUAUAGAAUUUUCAUCUGCAAUGAUUUUAUUUUGGUGAAUUUGCAUCUGCAAUGAUUUUUAUAGAUAUGGCUCCACUUGUUCAACAGACUUAUGCAUCUCAAUUCCCUCAAUCAGAACCAUCACGAUUUUAUGCAGGUGUUAAAGGCGGAAAGCUACUGUGGGCUGCAGUAAUGUUUCUCUCGAUCAACCGGCAACAUGUACCUUGCGAUCUGAUGAGUCUGGCUCGGAAACUGUCCUAUCAAACACAGAUCAAGGUCAACAGCAGCAAAGUGGUAAGAGUUGGUAUGCUACAUUGUCUGACAAGAAAAAGGCAGAGUACAUACACAUGCAUAUUUUAGCUCGCCAGCGAAAGAAUGCUGCAACUCGAACUGCUGUUAAUCAUGCAAAAGUGUCUCU